UACAGAGGGGGCAAGCGUUGUUCGGAAUUACUGGGCGUAAAGGGCGCGUAGGUGGCCUUCUAAGUCGAACGUGAAAUCCCUGGGCUCAACCCAGGAACUGCGUCCGAUACUGGAAGGCUUGAAUCCGGGAGAGGGAUGUGGAAUUCCAGGUGUAGCGGUGAAAUGCGUAGAUAUCUGGAGGAACACCGGUGGCGAAGGCGGCAUCCUGGACCGGUAUUGACACUGAGGCGCGAAAGCCAGGGGAGCAAACGGG
rnacentral:rRNA from 1 species